rnacentral:rRNA from 1 species
CAGCAGCCGCGGGAAUACGUAGGUCCCGAGCGCUGUCCGGAUUUAUUGGGCGUAAAGCGAGCGCAGGCGGUUAGAUAAGUCUGAAGUUAAAGGCUGUGGCUUAACCAUAGUACGCUUUGGAAACUGUUUAACUUGAGUGCAAGAGGGGAGAGUGGAAUUCCAUGUGUAGCGGUGAAAUGCGUAGAUAUACGGAGGAACACCGGUGGCGAAAGCGGCUCUCUGGCUUGUAACUGACGCUGAGGCUCGAAAGCGUGGGGAGCAAACAGGAUUAGAUACCCCAGUAGUCCCUGUCUCUUAUACA